UCAUGAAAUACCUGAGAGUAGAAAUGA
rnacentral:piRNA from 1 species